AAUUUGGUUAAAUCAUAGUGGAACACGAACGGAAGGAAACGGAAACUUAUUUUUAAUGCGGAGGAUGUGGUUUUUGUCUUGUCAGUAUACACCGUCCUUCUAAAACUCUUCUUUAUGGAGAGGAAGUAGACACUAAAGUUGCGGUUUGCGGACAUUCAAAAACCGCGCGUUCCAUAUGCAGCACAGUUGUGGUGCUAAACCUCUUCUUUUUUCAGAAAGAGAAAAUAGAGCUGUUUUAUCAAUAAAAUUCACUUAUUUAAUCGUUCGAAACACUGAAACGUAGGAAAUCAAGAUAAUCUGUCAUUGUCGAAGUAUUUCCGAAAGCAGUCAGUUUUUAUCAGUUCCCCUGCUACAGUAGUGGCGAUGUUAACGAUAUUGAAACACUGAUACGGGGGCAGUUUUCAACAUCGCUUUGUGUCGCUGACGUUUAUGCUCUAAGGUAAUUAGAUAGUGGCCGACACAAGCGAUCGGCCAAGACUACCAACAAGACCAUCCCAGCAAUCUGCACGAACAUCUCGGUACACAUUAAUUCAAUUCCAUCGACGAAGUCAAUUUCGUAAAAAGCAUUUGCUAGGCGAUCAA
rnacentral:misc_RNA from 1 species